AGGUAUGCUGGAGGUAUCAGAAGUGCGAAUGCUGACAUAAGUAACGAUAAAGCGGGUGAAAAGCCCGCUCGCCGGAAGACCAAGGGUUCCUGUCCAACGUUAAUCGGGGCAGGGUGAGUCGACCCCUAAGGCGAGGCCGAAAGGCGUAGUCGAUGGGAAACAGGUUAAUAUUCCUGUACUUGGUGUUACUGCGAAGGGGGGACGGAGAAGGCUAUGUUGGCCGGGCGACGGUUGUCCCGGUUUAAGCGUGUAGGCUGGUUUUCCAGGCAAAUCCGGAAAAUCAAGGCCGAGGCGUGAUGACGAGGCACUACGGUGCUGAAGCAACAAAUGCCCUGCUUCCAGGAAAAGCCUCUAAGCAUCAGGUAACAUCAAAUCGUACCCCAAACCGACACAGGUGGUCAGGUAGAGAAUACCAAGGCGCUUGAGAGAACUCGGGUGAAGGAACUAGGCAAAAUGGUGCCGUAACUUCGGGAGAAGGCACGCUGAUACGUAGGUGAAGCGACUUGCUCGUGGAGCUGAAAUCAGUCGAAGAUACCAGCUGGCUGCAACUGUUUAUUAAAAACACAGCACUGUGCAAACACGAAAGUGGACGUAUACGGUGUGACGCCUGCCCGGUGCCGGAAGGUUAAUUGAUGGGGUUAGCGCAAGCGAAGCUCUUGAUCGAAGCCCCGGUAAACGGCGGCCGUAACUAUAACGGUCCUAAGGUAGCGAAAUUCCUUGUCGGGUAAGUUCCGACCUGCACGAAUGGCGUAAUGAUGGCCAGGCUGUCUCCACCCGAGACUCAGUGAAAUUGAACUCGCUGUGAAGAUGCAGUGUACCCGCGGCAAGACGGAAAGACCCCGUGAACCUUUACUAUAGCUUGACACUGAACAUUGAGCCUUGAUGUGUAGGAUAGGUGGGAGGCUUUGAAGUGUGGACGCCAGUCUGCAUGGAGCCGACCUUGAAAUACCACCCUUUAAUGUUUGAUGUUCUAACGUGGACCCGUGAUCCGGGUUGCGGACAGUGUCUGGUGGGUAGUUUGACUGGGGCGGUCUCCUCCUAAAGAGUAACGGAGGAGCACGAAGGUUGGCUAAUCCUGGUCGGACAUCAGGAGGUUAGUGCAAUGGCAUAAGCCAGCUUGACUGCGAGCGUGACGGCGCGAGCAGGUGCGAAAGCAGGUCAUAGUGAUCCGGUGGUUCUGAAUGGAAGGGCCAUCGCUCAACGGAUAAAAGGUACUCCGGGGAUAACAGGCUGAUACCGCCCAAGAGUUCAUAUCGACGGCGGUGUUUGGCACCUCGAUGUCGGCUCAUCACAUCCUGGGGCUGAAGUAGGUCCCAAGGGUAUGGCUGUUCGCCAUUUAAAGUGGUACGCGAGCUGGGUUUAGAACGUCGUGAGACAGUUCGGUCCCUAUCUGCCGUGGGCGCUGGAGAACUGAGGGGGGCUGCUCCUAGUACGAGAGGACCGGAGUGGACGCAUCACUGGUGUUCGGGUUGUCAUGCCAAUGGCACUGCCCGGUAGCUAAAUGCGGAAGAGAUAAGUGCUGAAAGCAUCUAAGCACGAAACUUGCCCCGAGAUGAGUUCUCCCUGACCCUUUAAGGGUCCUGAAGGAACGUUGAAGACGACGACGUUGAUAGGCCGGGUGUGUAAGCGCAGCGAUGCGUUGAGCUAACCGGUACUAAUGAACCGUGAGGCUUAACCUUACAACGCCGAAG
rnacentral:rRNA from 1 species